rnacentral:tRNA from 2 species
GCGGGUAUAGCUGAGUUGGCUACAGCGUCUGCCUUCCAAGCAGAAGAUCACGGGUUCAAGUCCCGUUGCCCGCU